GACGAACGCUGGCGGCGUGCUUAACACAUGCAAGUCGAGCGGUAAGGCCCUUUCGGGGGUACACGAGCGGCGAACGGGUGAGUAACACGUGGGUGACCUGCCUCUAGCUCUGGGAUAAGCCCGGGAAACUGGGUCUAAUACUGGAUAUGACUCCAUGACGCAUGUUGUGGGGUGAAAGCCUUGUGCGGCUAGAGAUGGGCCCGCGGCCUAUCAGCUUGUUGGGGGGUG
rnacentral:rRNA from 1 species